UUUAAAAUAUUGAAGCCGCAACGGUGAAUCUUACUUCCUUGGUGGUGCAGUGGGACUGAUUGAAGCUACAACAGUGAAUCUUGUUCCCCAACAUUGCAAUUAAAGAGAUUGAAGCCACAACGGUGAAUCUCACUUCUCCCUAAGUAGUAGUGGAGCAGACGAAAGAAACCAAUCCUAUCUUCCUGGAGUUGCAGUGGAGCGGAUUAAAACCACAAAUCUCAUCCCCUAAAGGCACAGUGGACUUGAAUGAAGCUACUUGAAGAGAAGCACCCAAAGAAGUCAAGCCCCGGCGAGACCAGGCAAAUUUGGUCCUUCUUACUCUUUGCUCUGUUCUCGUUACACAAGAACGAGCAAAGAGGGGCAGCUGUAGAAGCCCAAAUUUGCUGGCCCAGUAAAAAUAAAAACAAUGGCCCAAAACAAAAAUUAAAAAAACCUAGCCCAACUAAACCCAAAACCAACAGCAAAAAGAUAGCAGAAAAAGAAAAGAGAACCCUAGGUGCGCCGCACCAGGGCCGCCCUUAGGCCUGCCAUUGCCACUGCCUCUGUUCGUCGCUGCCGCACGCCUCCUCCACGCGUGUCUGACACCUGCAAGAGACCACCAAACAAGGCAACAACAGUAAUAAAUGGCAAAAGACAAGAAUUGGAAACAGAACGGUUUUUGUAAUUUGGCUAUAAAAAAGCCACAAUAUCUCUUUGUAUUUUUUUUUACGAACACCCAUCGAUAAAUCAAAAAUCAGAAACUGAAGCUCCAAAAGGUUGUUCUUCUUUAAAAAAACUGUUAUCUUCGUUCUCUUUUUCAUAGUUUUUGUUUUGUUUUUCCUUUUCUUUUAUUUCAAAUCUAUUUAAAAGUAAUUAAAAAACAAAAAAAGGAAAAAGGAAGGUUACCUGAAUCGGCCCCUAGGCCCGCCGUCGAUGGUGAUUCACCGUCGCCGGAUGUGGGUUCAAGGAGGGGCCGAAGUUCUUCUCUUUCCCCUCAUCUCUUCGUUCCAUGGCCUCGUCCCAUGAGCGCGUUUCAAGGCGCCGAUAGGAGCCCUCUUCGCAC
rnacentral:lncRNA from 1 species